rnacentral:rRNA from 1 species
AGACCCGAAACCCGGUGAUCUAGCCAUGGGCAGGUUGAAGGUUGGGUAACACUAACUGGAGGACCGAACCGACUAAUGUUGAAAAAUUAGCGGAUGACCUGUGGCUGGGGGUGAAAGGCCAAUCAAACCGGGAGAUAGCUGGUUCUCCCCGAAAGCUAUUUAGGUAGCGCCUCGUGAAUUCAUCUCCGGGGGUAGAGCACUGUUUCGGCCAGGGGGCCAUCCCGGCUUACCAAUCCGAUGCAAACUGCGAAUACCGGAGAAUGUUAUCACGGGAGACACACGGCGGGUGCUAACGUCCGUCGUGAAGAGGGAAACAACCCAGACCGCCAGCUAAGGUCCCAAAGUCAUGGUUAAGUGGGAAACGAUGUGGGAAGGCCCAGACAGCCAGGAUGUUGGCUUAGAAGCAGCCAUCAUUUAAAGAAAGCGUAAUAGCUCACUGGUCGAGUCGGCCUGCGCGGAAGAUGUAACGGGGCUAAACCAUGCACCGAAGCUGCGGCAGCGAACGUAUCACCCAAGACAACUUUGCACAGUUGACGAUUGACGGAGCGAAGCGACGUCAAAGCGUUUUACAACGUCGAGUUGGCUUAGGGAUACGUUCGUUGGGUAGGGGAGCGUUCUGUAAGCCGUUGAAGGUGUGUCGUGAGGCAUGCUGGAGGUAUCAGAAGUGCGAAUGCUGACAUAAGUAACGAUAAAGCGGGUGAAAAGCCCGCUCGCCGGAAGACCAAGGGUUCCUGUCCAACGUUAAUCGGGGCAGGGUGAGUCGACCCCUAAGGCGAGGCCGAAAGGCGUAGUCGAUGGGAAACGGGUUAAUAUUCCCGUACUUGGUGUUACUGCGAAGGGGGGACGGAGAAGGCUAUGUUGGCCGGGCGACGGUUGUCCCGGUUUAAGCGUGUAGGCUGACUUUCCAGGCAAAUCCGGAGAGUCAAGGCUGAGGCGUGACGACGAGGCACCACGGUGCUGAAGCAACAAAUGCCCUGCUUCCAGGAAAAGCCUCUAAGCCUCAGGUAACAUCAAAUCGUACCCCAAACCGACACAGGUGGUCAGGUAGAGAAUACCAAGGCGCUUGAGAGAACUCGGGUGAAGGAACUAGGCAAAAUGGUGCCGUAACUUCGGGAGAAGGCACGCUGACACGUAGGUGAAGUGAUUUACUCAUGGAGCUGAAGUCAGUCGAAGAUACCAGCUGGCUGCAACUGUUUAUUAAAAACACAGCACUGUGCAAACACGAAAGUGGACGUAUACGGUGUGACGCCUGCCCGGUGCCGGAAGGUUAAUUGAUGGGGUCAGCGCAAGCGAAGCUCCUGAUCGAAGCCCCGGUAAACGGCGGCCGUAACUAUAACGGUCCUAAGGUAGCGAAAUUCCUUGUCGGGUAAGUUCCGACCUGCACGAAUGGCGUAAUGAUGGCCAGGCUGUCUCCACCCGGGACUCAGUGAAAUUGAACUCGCUGUGAAGAUGCAGUGUACCCGCGGCAAGACGGAAAGACCCCGUGAACCUUUACUAUAGCUUGACACUGAACACUGGUCCUUGAUGUGCAGGAUAGGUGGGAGGCUUUGAAGUGUGGACGCCAGUCUGCAUGGAGCCAUCCUUGAAAUACCACCCUUUAAUGGCUGGUGUUCUAACGUGGACCCGUAAUCCGGGUUGCGGACAGUGUCUGGUGGGUAGUUUGACUGGGGCGGUCUCCUCCUAAAGAGUAACGGAGGAGCACGAAGGUUGGCUAAUCCUGGUCGGACAUCAGGAGGUUAGUGCAAUGGCAUAAGCCAGCUUGACUGCGAGCGUGACGGCGCGAGCAGGUGCGAAAGCAGGUCAUAGUGAUCCGGUGGUUCUGAAUGGAAGGGCCAUCGCUCAACGGAUAAAAGGUACUCCGGGGAUAACAGGCUGAUACCGCCCAAGAGUUCAUAUCGACGGCGGUGUUUGGCACCUCGAUGUCGGCUCAUCACAUCCUGGGGCUGAAGUAGGUCCCAAGGGUAUGGCUGUUCGCCAUUUAAAGUGGUACGCGAGCUGGGUUUAGAACGUCGUGAGACAGUUCGGUCCCUAUCUGCCGUGGGCGCUGGAAGAUUGAGGGGGGCUGCUCCUAGUACGAGAGGACCGGAGUGGACGCAUCACUGGUGUUCGGGUUGUCAUGCCAAUGGCACUGCCCGGUAGCUACAUGCGGAAGAGAUAAGUGCUGAAAGCAUCUAAGCACGAAACUUGCCCCGAGAUGAAUCUUCCCUGAGCCUUUAAGGCUCCUGAAGGAACGUUGAAGACGACGACGUUGAUAGGCCGGGUGUGUAAGCGCAGCGAUGCGUUGAGCUAACCGGUACUAAUGAACCGUGAGGCUUAACCUU